AUCUCUGAAACCCAUGGCACCUGGCUGCCCAGCUGGUGCCUCCUAGGUCCUCGGAGCACGUGGAUUAAGAGGAGGGCGUGGCCAGUAUGGAGAGAGAUCAGAAAUCACCAGAACCCUAGGGCCCUGCAGGAUGGUCUGCUUUGAUUGUAAGUGCCAUAAAGUCGAGGGCCAGGUCUGGCUUACUGAUCCGUCAUUCCUCAAUGCCUGGCAUGAUGCCCUGUGGGCAAGCAGCCCAGCCCUGGAAUCAUCCCAGCCUGGUGCCAGAUGGUGAAUGAAGAAGCCUCUAGAAGACUUCAGUCACCUGAGUUUUCCCAAAUGGAGCAAAGACAAGGCAUCCCACCACGCCCUUCCUAAAUUUCUGACCUACAAAUUCAUGAAUGUUAGAAAAAUGAUUGUUUUAUUUUUAAAAAAUCACAAAGUAAAGUAAAACUCUUCUCUG